rnacentral:tRNA from 1 species
UUUCUGGUAGCUUAACUAAAGCAUUGGUCUUGUAAACCAAAGACUGUGGGAUAACACCUACCCAGGGCU